rnacentral:rRNA from 1 species
UUAUUGAGAGUUUGAUCCUGGCUCAGGACGAACGCUGGCGGCGUGCCUAACACAUGCAAGUCGAACGGAGAUAAACGCUGAUUUGAAAGUAGCUUGCUACCCGAUUUUCUUGUUUAUCUUAGUGGCGGACGGGCGAGUAACGCGUGAGCAACCUGCCCUUCAGUGGGGAACAACAGUUGGAAACGACUGCUAAUACCGCAUAACGUGCAACCGGGGCAUCCCGGAUGUACCAAAGGAUUUAUUCGCUGAAGGAUGGGCUCGCGUCCGAUUAGCUAGAUGGUGGGGUAACGGCCUACCAUGGCGACGAUCGGUAGCCGAACUGAGAGGUUGAUCGGCCGCAUUGGGACUGAGACACGGCCCAGACUCCUACGGGAGGCAGCAGUG